rnacentral:rRNA from 1 species
AUGUGCAUUGCGAAGUCACAAGGCGGUUUGGGGUUUCGAGACUUGGAAAUUUUUAAUGAUGCAUUGUUAGCUAAGCAAGCUUGGAGGCUGCUUGAUAACCCAAAUAGUCUCUGUGCAAGAGUGCUUAAAGCACGGUAUUUCCCUAAUGAGGGUUUUUUGACGGCGGGCUGCCCAGCGAGUGCUUCUAAGACUUGGAAAUCAAUAAUCCAAGGAAGAGAUAUGUUGAAGACGGGACUCAUACGGCGAGUUGGUAAUGGAGAGACAACAGAGGUAUGGCACGAUCAGUGGAUAGAAGGCACCGGAUCAAUGAAACCGAUGGGUUCUCUAAAGCUGAACUCAGUCCAGCUUGUUUCAGACUUGCUUGACCCAGGUACGAACCAGUGGGAUACGGAUCUUGUUCGUAGCUGUUUUUUUCCCUGA